UUAUUAUAAUUCUUGAAAUUGUGUAUUGUUUAUAAUGUGAGGUAUUACUUUAAUUGUCCUAUCAAAUACCUAAUGUUUAAAGAAUACAAUGCACACUAAAUUUGGUUCUAUAAAACAAACAUUUGGUCCAACGAUGAUCCUCAAAUUUGAACUAUUAGUUAAUUUUGUAUUACCUAGUUUUUUAUGCUACCAAUAGUUAUUGAAAUGCAAACACGAUAAUUAUAACUCCUUAAAUUAAGGUCAAAUUAUAAGAAAAUGCUCCUCAUUUGAUGUUUGUGUUAAAAAUACCUCUAAAUUUUCAAAAGUUUAAAAGAUGUCUCUAACCUUUCAAAAAGAGUUCAAAAAUACCAUUAUCGUUAGUUGUGGAUGAAAACCGUUAGAAAAUAUUUUUAUUAAUUCACAAAUGCUCAUUAAUUAUUACAAAAACUUUUGGAGAGUUUAAAGAUAUUUUUGAAAGAUUUGAAAGUCUUUUAGUCUUUUUGACACAAACAUUGUCCAUAACCUAAUGUGUAACAUAUAGUAUAUAUGUUUAUUGUAAGAUGAAUCUUAGCUUUUUGAAUAAUUUUGACGUAGGACAUCCGUUGUAAUCACAUCAUCGAAAAAGAGUUGAAAAAUGAUAUAGGAGCAUGUGGAGAAUUUAGAGAAAGGGAAUGGAGGACGUAAUUAAAUAGGCUUUUCAUACCAAAAUCAGAAUUGGGAUUUGUACUUUGCAUAUUCCAUUGGUAUAUAGAACCCUUAAAGGGUCAAAUUUACUCUUAGGAAGUGGCCACCCAUUAUAAAACAAACCAACAAUAUCUCAAUUUCUAGAUUUUUGGACACCGAGCUGGAUGCGUAAACCCUCUAACAAUUUCGAUCACAAACACAAAUAAUAUAUAUAUAUAUAUAUGUCUGAAUAUAUUUUAAGUAGGGAGAGCGGAUAAAAGUCCAUUAAUAAAUAUGCAAAAUUACAUAUACGAGUAUAAAACUAUAUAUAAAUAUAUUGUGAGAGAAAAUUAAAGUUAGAAAAAUGUAUUGCAACUUGGUCUCAGGUCUUGCCUAUAUAUUGGCAUCAUGAGAGUGUGAAUUUGAAAAAGUAGAUUAGAAGAGGAAAUAAUAAGAAGAAUGGGUUUGAAAUAAAAAAAAUGUUAGUUAUGGUGAUGGUUAUUGUUAUUGGCUCCAUUAAUGGCGGAAGCUCUGUUUAAAGGAUGGGUGGGAGUGUCGCUGGAAUUUGGCGAGCCGAAGGAACUGUCUUUUGCACUCCCGAUGGCAACAUUGGCACCAUUGCGGCCACAUCCACCCCCGUUUCCCCGAACAUUGUAGUGCACAUGCAAUCGAGAAAUGGAAGCAUCGUUUCAACUACGACAACAAACAACAUGGGAUUCUUGGCAUCAUUCUUAGACGAAGGCGAGAUCGUAGUAACGUCUCCAAUGUCCUACUGUAAUGCGAUGUUACCAUCUACUGGAUAUCUAACGUCAAGAAUGCAAUACAUUGGAACAAUUCUAAAGGAUGACAACAUCGAGAUGAUGAAAGUAACCCCAAACAAUUCACAUUCAUUCUAUCUCCUUAAAAUGCAAGUUGUGGGGGUAAAUAUAUUCACCAAAGGGAAAAAGGAAUAACAAGAGAGCACUAUAGUACGUAUUUGAGAUUUUAGUCCUUGUAAUGUAUGAGUACUCUCUCUCAAAAUUGAUCAAGUAUUUGUAUUGUUUAUUGUCGUGUUUAUACAUGUUUGUUGUUGUUCAUUCCAAGAAUAAAAGGUUAUGUGCUUGUUGUUCUUAUA